CCUACGGGAGGCAGCAGUGGGGAAUAUUGCACAAUGGGCGCAAGCCUGAUGCAGCCAUGCCGCGUGUGUGAAGAAGGCCUUCGGGUUGUAAAGCACUUUCAGCGGGGAGGAAGGCGUUAAGGUUAAUAACCUUGUCGAUUGACGUUACCCGCAGAAGAAGCACCGGCUAACUCCGUGCCAGCAGCCGCGGUAAUACGGAGGGUGCAAGCGUUAAUCGGAAUUACUGGGCGUAAAGCGCACGCAGGCGGUCUGUCAAGUCGGAGGUGAAAUCCCCGGGCUCAACCUGGGAACUGCAUUCGAAACUGGCAGGCUAGAGUCUUGUAGAGGGGGGUAGAAUUCCAGGUGUAGCGGUGAAAUGCGUAGAGAUCUGGAGGAAUACCGGUGGCGAAGGCGGCCCCCUGGACAAAGACUGACGCUCAGGUGCGAAAGCGUGGGGAGCAAACAGGAUUAGAUACCCGAGUAGUC
rnacentral:rRNA from 1 species